rnacentral:lncRNA from 1 species
GUGGUUACGACGAUUGGAACAUAUCAUUAUCAUCUGUACAUUUUUUGCGCCUUUUUCGUGUCAGGAGCAUCUGGGGUUGAAGUCAUAAAACUGUCCUCAGUGCUCGGAGCACAAAAAUUAUGCUCGAAACAUGAAAUCAAGCGUUUUGAUUAGUUAAUUUUGAAGUAUGAGUACACAAAAACCUGACUCGAAUGUUUUAUGACUUCAAGGCCUGGGCUUUGUUUGUCGU